rnacentral:rRNA from 1 species
GACGAACGCUGGCGGCGUGCCUAAUACAUGCAAGUCGAACGCAGUGGGGACGGGUGAGUAACCCGUGGGUAACCUCCCAUCAGAGGGGAUAACACUUGGCAACAGGUGCUAAACCGAUACUGAUGGAUGGACCCGCGGUGCAUUAGCUAGUUGGUGCGGUAACGGCUCACCAAGGCCACGAUGCAUAUCCGAGCUGAGAGGGUGAUCGGCCAUACGGGGACUAAGACACGGCCUGGAAUCGUACUCGAGGCAGCAGUAGGGAAGCUGCGGCAAGGGACGAAAGUCGGACCUAGCAACGCCGCGUGAGUGAGGAAGGUUUUCGGAUCGUAAAACUCUGUUGUUAGAGAAGCGGUAUCUAACCAGAAAGCCACGGCUAACUACGUGCCAGCAGCCGCGGUAAU